CAAAAAAUAGUUUAUUAAAAACAAUAAUUCUGGGAAUUAUAAAUAAAUAAUUAGUAUUUUUUUUUGA
rnacentral:tRNA from 1 species